rnacentral:lncRNA from 1 species
GCGAAGUUAAGGCGAUCAUGACCCUCGAGGCUGAGUUGACCUUGGGCGCGAGGUCAGGACCCUGGAUGCGAAGUUGUGAGGAGCGGAAUUCACGGAGCUGUGUGAGAGCGUGAUUCGUAGAGCUGUCGGGCGGCGUGAGAAGCGUGACUGUAGGGCGGCGUGAGAAGCAUGACCUCCAAAUGACUUUCGUGUAAAGUAUAUUCCAGGAAUGUAGUGGUUGAGUAAGGGUGAUUAUGAAAUAUAAAUACCCUCCGAAAUACUAUAAAAGGGAGCCCUACCCCAUUGAACAAUGGAUUGAUAGUCUUAGUGUUCUUCAUUUUGUUGAAUCCUUUGUCCUCGCCGAAGGUAGAGGCCCAACACGAUCACAAGGACCGGGCGAUUUGUUCUCUUCAAUGUACGAAUGCAUCGUUUGGCUUUAGCAUUUUCUUUCUCAAAUUUUGAUAUAGUUCACCAUAUAUUUCUGCCACUCCCUUCAAAGAAAGAAAAAUAGAAAAUAUUGCCGCCGCUCCUUACCACCACACUAACCCAUGUACAGUAAACAAGCAAGCAAGCAGGUAGCAGAAAUACUUUCAAUGAACUGUGUCAGGUUGGCUCAGCAGCUCACGUUCGUUCAUUCCUUGUGCACCGGACGACGCUGGCACGGAGCGGCCGCCGCAUCACGACGGACAGCUCCUGCUUCUCGGCGAAUUCCACCGGCUCGCCGGCCACCUCUCGCCAUUCGAACUCGACGACGAGG